UGCGUAGGGUCCGAGCGUUGUCCGGAAUUAUUGGGCGUAAAGGGCUCGUAGGCUGUCUGUUGCGUCGGGAGUGAAAACUUACAGCUUAACUGUGAGCGUGCUUCCGAUACGGGCAGACUUGAGGUAUUCAGGGGAGAACGGAAUUCCUGGUGUAGCGGUGAAAUGCGCAGAUAUCAGGAGGAACACCGGUGGCGAAGGCGGUUCUCUGGGAAUAUCCUGACGCUGAGGAGCGAAAGUGUGGGGAGCGAACAGG
rnacentral:rRNA from 1 species